CAGGAGGAACACCGAUGGCGAAGGCAGGUCUCUGGGCAUUAACUGACGCUGAGGAGCGAAAGCAUGGGGAGCGAACAGGAUUAGAUACCCUGGUAGUCCAUGCCGUAAACGUUGGGCACUAGGUGUGGGGGACAUUCCACGUUUUCCGCGCCGUAGCUAACGCAUUAAGUGCCCCGCCUGGGGAGUACGGCCGCAAGGCUAAAACUCAAAGGAAUUGACGGGGGCCCGCACAAGCGGCGGAGCAUGCGGAUUAAUUCGAUGCAACGCGAAGAACCUUACCAAGGCUUGACAUGGGCCGGACCGGGCUGGAAACAGUCCUUCCCCUUUGGGGCCGGUUCACAGGUGGUGCAUGGUUGUCGUCAGCUCGUGUCGUGAGAUGUUGGGUUAAGUCCCGCAACGAGCGCAACCCUCGUUCCAUGUUGCCAGCGCGUAAUGGCGGGGACUCAUGGGAGACUGCCGGGGUCAACUCGGAGGAAGGUGGGGACGACGUCAAAUCAUCAUGCCCCUUAUGUCUUGGGCUUCACGCAUGCUACAAUGGCCGGUACAAAGGGUUGCGAUACUGUGAGGUGGAGCUAAUCCCAAAAAGCCGGUCUCAGUUCGGAUUGGGGUCUGCAACUCGACCCCAUGAAGUCGGAGUCGCUAGUAAUCGCAGAUCAGCAACGCUGCGGUGAAUACGUUCCCGGGCCUUGUACACACCGCCCGUCAAGUCACGAAAGUUGGUAACACCCGAAGCCGGUGGCCUAACCCCUUGUGGGAGGGAGCUGUCGAAGGUGGGACUGGCGAUUGGGACUAAGUCGUAA
rnacentral:rRNA from 1 species